GUAGUAACCACGGGUUUUCGGUGUAUUUAUUACUAGCAAAAUGUUUUUUACUACAGUAAACAUGGUUUAACUAUAUUUUUCUGCAAAUGAAGUGCUUUUCCACCAUAAAAUAUAGUUCUCAUUUUUUAUCUGCUUAAAAAUCACCACAUUUUUUUUGUGCCACCAUACUUUUCUUGUGUAACUACUCAUGUAACAGUCUUUAAAUAGGGAAAACAUGGAAAUGUUUGGUGACAUCCAACUGUUUGGAUCUUAAGGAAUGAAUGGGGCUAGGCUAAAUGUUAACACAUUCAUGCUGUACAAAGAUUAAGUGCACUCAUUGAAAAAGAUAGGUAUGUAGGAAUAUAUCUAAGUUAAUGUAAGAACAUUGUAAAAUAUUGGAAAACAAUUGUGUUUUCCUUUAAGAGCCAACCCCUCUCUCUAUCUCUCUCAUUUUCUAUCUGUCCAAUCUUUUGCAUCCUCUUUGUAUAGUUUUACACAUUUCUCCAGUCUAUAUCUUUAUCUGUCUUUCAGUCUUAUUCUAUUUCUUAAUCUUUCCUCCGUCUUUUAGUUAUCUGUCAUCUUUGUCAGUCUGUUUGGCCUUUGUCUGUUUGUUAUAAUGCCAGGUGGGUCUACAAAAAUGAUUUGCGCCUCAAGAAGAAGCUUCAGAAGUUUGAUGAGAAGCGAGAAGGAAUGGGUUGUAAGGACAACCACAACAUUGCAUCCAUCAAUGAUAAAGCCGUUGUCUUGGUUGGACCCAGGAUUCCAGUGGCAAUGAUGAUCAGCUGGUUACACUGCACCUCACACCCUGUGACCCAUUGGAGAAUGCAAACAACCGGGAGAAGGUGUCAUCUGUGUUCUCAGUUUACUCUAUGUUGGUAUAUUCGGACUGUGUGACAUUCAGCAACACAAUGAUACAAAACCACCAGCAGAUCCAGAGCAGAAGUCUUGUAUGUCAGAAAGUGAGGUGAAGCUUUUUGACAAAUACAACAAAGUUAAAGACUGUCUGUACUCUUGU